CGGAGAAGGAGCCUGAGAAAUGGCUACCACAUCUAAGGAAGGCAGCAGGCGCGUAAAUUACCCAAUCCUAAUUCAGGGAGGUAGUGACAAGAAAUAACAACUCGGACCUCACAUGAGGUUACGGGAUUGCAAUGAGAACAAUUUAAACCACUUAUCGAGCAACAAUUGGAGGGCAAGUCUGGUGCCAGCAGCCGCGGUAAUUCCAGCUCCAAUAGCGUAUAUUAAAGUUGUUGCAGUUAAAAAGCUCGUAGUUGAAUUUCUGGCCAGCGCUGUUCUUGGCUCUCUGAUCGGCUCAGUGUUUGGUCAUCCGUAUGGGAACUAGCUCGGCCUUCACUGGUCGGCUAGUGGAUCAUACACUUUACUUUGAAAAAGAUUAGAGUGUUCAGGCAGGCAAUUGCUUGGAUACUCCAGCAUGGAAUAAUGGAAUAGGACUUUGACCUAUUUGUUGGUUUCUUCAGUCAAGGUAAUGAUUAAUAGGACAGUUGGGGGCAUUCAUAUUUAAUUGUCAGAGUGAAAUUCUUGGAUUUAUUAAAGACGAACUACUGCGAAAGCAUUACCAAGGAUGUUUUCAUUAAUCAAGAACGAAUAGUUGAGGGGAUCGAAGAUGAUUAAGAUGUACUGAUCAGAUACCUUCAGUCUUAACCAUUCAAAACUAUACCGACUAGGGAUUGGUGAGUCUUCUAUCUCAUGAGCACUCAAUGUGAAAUCUUGGGGGGUUCUGGGGGGAGUAUGGUCACAAGGCUGAAACUUAAAGGAAUCGACGGAAGGGCACCACCAGGAGUGGAGCUUGCGGCUUAAUUUGACUCAACACGGGGAAACUUACCAGGUCCAGACAUAGUUAGGAUUGACAGAUUGAGAGCUCUUUCUUGAUUCUAUGGGUGGUGGUGCAUGGCCGUUCUUAGUUGGUGGAGUGAUUCGUCUGGUUAAUUCCGUUAACGAACGAGACCUUAACCUGCUAACUAGUUACUCUUAUGUAAAUAGGAGGCUAACUUGUUAGAGGGACUUUAUGUGCAAGCAUAAGGAAGUUUGAGGCAAUAACAAGGUCUGAGGAUGCCAUUAAGAUGUCUGGGCCGCAACGCGCGCUACACUGACAACAUGCAACAAGUUUAUUUUUCCUGGCUCGGAAGGGUUCGGGUAAUCUUGUAUAAUGUGUGUCGUGCUAGGGAUAGAUCUUUGGAAUUAUAGAUCUUGAACGAGGAAUUCCUAGUAAGCAUAAGUCAUCAGCUUGUGCUGAUUACGUCCCUGCCCUUUGUACACACCGCCCGUGACUCGUACAGCCUGGGAGUGAUCCGGUGAACCUUAACGACCGUGAGCAGGCUUGACCUGAUCGUGGGAAGUUAAGUAAACCUUAUCACUUAGACGAAGGAGAAGUCGUAACAAGGUAACC
rnacentral:rRNA from 1 species